GAUGAACGCUGGCGGCGUGCCUAAUACAUGCAAGUCGAGCGAACAGACGAGGAGCUUGCUGGUCUGACGUUAGCGGCGGACGGGAGAGUAACACGAGGAUACCCUACCUAUAAGACUGGUAUCACUUAGGGAAUCCGGAGCUAAUACCGUAGAAGAUACUGAAGCGCGGGGGUCGAUGGUGAAAUACGGUGUUUCGGUAACGUAUAGCGGGAUCCUCGCUGGUUUAGGUAGUUGGUGAGGUAACGGCCUACCAAGGCAACGAUGCGUAGCCGAACUGAUAGGGUGGUCGGCCACCCUGGAACUGUGACACGGUCCAGGGGGCUAGGGGAGGCAGCAGGAGGGAAUCGGCGGCAAUGGGCGGAAGCCUGACGGAACAGCGCCGAGUGCGUGAUGAGGGUCUUCGGAUCGGAAAACUCUGUUAUUGGGGAAGAACACAUGUGUGCGUGAAAAUACCCGUCUUGACGGUACCUGAGGAAAAAGCCACGGCUAACUACGGG
rnacentral:rRNA from 1 species